CCGGUGUUGCUGUGUUUGCGUCCCCGUAACUUAGCGGUUCGGCAAAAAACAACUGAAUAAGUACCAAGCUUUAAAAAGUAAGUACUGAGGUCGAUUCAUUCGACCAAAAACUCUUCAGAUGGUAAUCCAGCAUGGCCGCAGUCUAAUGACUGAAACAAGUAAGAGAUAAAAUGAAAAUAAUUUUUUAAAUCCUAAUUGAUCUUGGAGUGUAAAUUUAAGAAAUAUGUACGAUUAAAUGAUUUCAAAUUAUCGUACAUUAUCUUAGAGUUACGAUUUUAAUCGCCAGUAAAACAACUGCCAAGAAACGUUUAUUUUAGAUGUUGUACCAUAUAAGUACUGUUAUAAUGCCAAUGUGGAUAUAUUUAAUAAACGGUCAUAAUGUAUCAUUAAUCUGUCAUGACAUCUUGUACUGUAAUGUAUACGUCCCGUCCCGGCAAUCUUUCUCUGAAAUCAGAAUUACAUCAGCCAUACAUGAAACAUGCAAAUCUUGCGCAUUAACCAAAUGUUAUGGGAAAAUACUGGUAUUAUUUUUUUAUAAUACCCAUUAGCCAUAAAUGCAUAUAUUCAUGUGAAUUCACAAUCUAUUUUGCUUUCGUGAUAUUGUGCAGAGACACGCAUACCGUGGUUGCUUGACAAUGGCAUUCCGUUCAAUGUUUACAGUCAGUGUAUCAAUUGUUGGGAACAACACCUGCAGAACUGUUAAUUGGAUUUGUAUAGCUGAUCUAUAUUAAUCUCUGUUAAUCUGUUCAAAUUGUACACCAAACACGAGAUUUAGCUGGAAAUGUUUGUGUCAAUCUGCUUGGGUUAUGCUAAGUGGUGUACAACAAGUAUUAGGAGUACUGUUCCACUGGGUACCCAUCCUGUGGCAUCAGUCGCAUUUUAUUAUUUCGGUAAAGUCGAAUUGUACUUUCAAGACAUAUUUUCAGGCUUAAAACGUCUAUUUGUACACCGCAAUUUAUGGUCUGUGUAUUAGUGAGUGUGUGUGUGUGUGCAUAUUAUAUAUAACGGCGGUGCAUCAGCAUGGCCGCAGCUCUGAGCUGAAACUAAAAAAAAAUGUUUUUAAUAAAAAAAUAAAAAUAUAUAUAUAUACUAGCAUUAUGACCCGUCGUUGCCGGGUCAUAGUGCUAGUGCAUGUAUAUAUGUGUAUAUAUAUAUGUGUACAUAUUACAUGUACAUUUAUAUAUAUAUACAUCUACACAUAAAAUACAAAAUACAAAGUUAUAUCUUGAUAUCGCUAGUGAUAACAAUACUCAAAAUAUAUAACAGACUGGAAUUGUUAGCCCGUCUCUUGUAAUUUCCUCCCGGUGUUCAAAUCUUCUUUUUUCUGUACAUUGUAUACUUUAUAGACAAUAGUCUUUUCUUUAAUUUAAUUUUUUAUUGUCUAUCUGGACUAUUCCAUUUCUGCACACUAAUUUUAUUUUUAAUUUAUUCCCAUUCAUGUGAAACCACUUAUUCAAGUUCAAAUCAUUGAAGCAAUUUUAUACCAAUUGCUUUUUUUACUUUUGUUAUGUUACGAUCAUAUUAUACUUUAGUUUGAUUUUACUUAUUACUUACUACAUAUAAUUCAAUUGUUAUUAUUAUUUUUAUUGUUAAAGUGAAAGCAUCUGACAUAAAAUAGAGAAAUGUUUUUGUUUCACUUUUAACACGUAAUACUGAAAUAGUGGAGAAGAUAUGAUAUUGCUAUGGGCUCGCUCUAGGCAAGAAGUUGAACAUUUUUUUGACCAUGAGACUACAUGGACCCUAAGUAAGGCAUGUGCAAAAUUUGAAUGAAAUUGGAUGUGUAGUUCUCAAGUUUUAGGGAAACACACAGACAGACAGACACACAUUCUCAGUUUUAUAUAUAUAUAUAUAUAUAUAUAUAUAUAUAUAUAUAUAUAUAUAUAUAUAUAUAUAUAUAUAUAUAUAUAUAUACAUACAUAUAUAUAUAUAUAUGCAUUAUAUAUAGACACACAUUAUAUAUAUAUAUAUAUAUAUAUAUAUAUAUACAUUAUAUAUAUAUGUGUUAUAUAUAAUAUAUAUACGCUAUAUAUAUAUUAUAUAUAUAUACGUUAUAUAUAUUACGGUCUUAAAGCGACGAAAAUAUUUUGACAAAUUAAACUUAAAUGUUGAAGUGAAUCGAACGGCUUUUGUGUGUUUCUUAAAUGGCUUACAAACACCUUCCACGCUGCAAUUGUUUUCGUUAUAUAUAUAUAUAUAUAUAUAUAUAUAUAUAUAUAUAUAUAUAUAUAUAUAUAUAUAUAUAUUAUAUAUAUAUUAUAUUGAAUGCAGCCAUGCUGGAGCACCGCCUUUAGUCGAGUAAAUCGACCUCAAGACCUAUUCUUUGUAAGCCUAGUACUUAUUCUAUCGGACAUUUUUGCCGAACCGCUAAGUUACGGGGACGUAAGCACACCAGCAUCGGUUGUCAAGCGAUGUUGGGGAGACAGACACGCAAACAUAUACACACCCAAGCAUAUAUAUAUAUAUAUAUAUAUAUAUAUGUGACGGGAUUCUUUCAGUUUCCGUCUACCAAAUCCACUCAUAAGGCUUUGGUCGACCUGAGGCUAUAGUAGACGACACUUGCCCAAGGUGCCACGCAGUGGUACUGAACCCAGAACCAUGUAGUUGGUAAGCAAGCUACUUACCACACACCCACUCCUGCGCCGAUAUAUGUGUGUGUGUGUUUGUGUGUGUGUGUGUGCGUGUGUACGUGUGUAUGUGUGAGUGUGUGUAUAUAUACAUAUAUAUAUAUAUAUAUAUAUAUAUAUAUAUACAUACACACACACAUAUAUAUACAUUAUAUAUAUACAUAUAUAUAUAUAUAUAUAUAUAUAUAUAUAUAUAUACAUUAUAUAUGCGUGUGUGUGUAUGUAUAUAUAUAUAUAUAUAGGUAGCAUUCGCCAUGCUGCACACACAUAUAUAUACAUAUAUAUAUAUAUAUAUAUAUAUAUAUAUAUAUAUAUAUAUAUAUAUAUAUAUAUAUAUAUAUAUAUAUAUAUAUAUAUAUAUAUAUAUAUAUAUAUAUGUGUGUGUGUGUGUGUGUGUGUAUGUAUGUAUGUAUGUAUGUAUGUAUGUAUGUAUGUAUGUAUGUAUGUAUGUAUGUAUGUAUGAAAUGCUCAGCCACUUGCACAUUAAUUUCACAAGCAGGCUGUUCCGUUGAUCGGAUCAACUGGAACCCUCGUUGUCAUCAGCGACGGAGUGCCAGUAUAUACGCGUGUAUGUGUGUGUAUAAUAUAUGAGUGUUCAUAUAUAUAUACUCACUCGUAUAUGUGUAUACAUACAUACAUACCUUGUAUGCAUUUUCAUAUCAAAAUGCCCACCAGACAAAAGACAAAUAGAUAGAUAGAUAGAUAGAUAGAUAGAUAGAUAGAUAGAUAGAUAGAUAGAUAGAUAGAUAGAUAGAUAGAUAGAUAGAUAUUAGUGAGGGCGUAUAUUUUUUUCUAUCUGAGAAGUAAUACUUAUUCUAGAGUAUUGAGUACGAAAAUAUUUGUUUAUGCUGCAGAAUAGUUUUACUACAAAGCCAUAUGCCUGUCAUAUAUCGAAGUACGGGACUGAAUACCCAAAAACACCCUGGUUGAUUCGAUACCCUAAAUACAUAAUUCGAUGUCAGUUUUUUUUUUUUUGUUGUUGUUGUUGUUGUUGUAUACUCCCUGGUCAACAAACCUUUGAUCAAAUGUAUUCUAGCCAUCACCAUCUCAUUUUUCAAAGCAAAUUUUUUCAGAUUACUUUAUCCAAUAUAUUCUUAAGAAGGAUUAAGCUGUUAUUUUUUAUCAGAUGGAACGACUACGUUGACAUUCUCUCUUCAGCUCUUUUAUUUUAUGUACUACUUAAACAGACCCCACAUUCUAGGAAUAGCCACAAAAUCUUCCGCGAAUCUCAUAAAACUUUCUUUGAAAAGGGAAUGAGAAAACGCAUUCGUACAUAGUUUUUGGACACACAAUGAGAAAAAAAACGAGAUAACCGUAGCUGGAAGACCGCUGAGCGUCAGGGCUGAAUUGAAGAAAAUCAGUCACAAAAGCAUUUACACAAAUAAAAUUAGAAGGAGGAUAGUACGUUGACCAAGGUAUCAGAUAAACAGUCUAGGGACCAGUCGUUUGUAUAUUGGUUUCAAAUUUUGACACAAAGCCAACAAGUUCGGGAGAGCGGUUAAGUCGAUUACAUCGAUCCCUGUGAUCAACUGGUACUUAUUUUAUCGUCCCCGAAAUGAUGAAAAGCAAAGUCGACCUCGGCAGAAUUUGAACUCAUAAGCGUUAAGACAGACGAAAUGCCGCUAAGCAUUUUGUCCGGAAUGCUAACAAUUCUGCCAGCUCGCCGCCUGCAGUCCUUUGUACAUUGUUACAGCUAUUGUGUUCAUAAACAAGAACCGAACUUUUUAUGACCAAGUCCACCAAUAUUUCUUCCCAGUAUCAUUUUAUUCCAUUCAUUUGUACUACCUUUAUUUACACAAUAUUUUCAUAAGGAAAAUCACUCUGUUUUCAUGAUAAGAGGUUCAAAACAGGGCAUAGUGAAGAAUUCGCAUGUGGCUGUGUGGCAAGAAGCUUGCUUUCCAACUACAUGGUUCCGGGUUCAGUCCUACUGCGUAGUACCUCAGGUAAAUGUCUACUACUAUAACCUCCGACUGACCAAAGCUUUGUCGGUGGGUUUUGGUAGACGUGUUUGUGUGUGUCCCACCACCGCUUGACAACCAGUGUUGGAGUAUUUACAUCCCUGCAACUUAGAGUAUUUACAUCCCUGCAAAUUUAUCGGCAAAAUUACCGAUAAAUUUAUAAAUUAUUUAAUUGCAUCAUCUAACACAUAUUUCAGUAAAAAUAAUGACCGAAUCAUGCAAUCCAGGCUGGGUAUGUUCUCUAAUCUUCACUUUGUCAGAGAUUCUCAUACCGAUUCGCUAUGAAUCUCUGACAAAGUAAGACCUAGAAAAAUCUACCUGGCCCAAAUUGCAUAAUUCGGUCAUUACAUUCACAGUAACACAUGUAUGAUGAUGAAGUUAAAUAAUUUAUGAACCGACUCUCCAAUUUUGUUUUGUUUUUUUUCGGUAUGUACAUUGUGACCUUUCUAAGUAUGGAGACUAGUGAAAGGAAAUUUGAAACAUAGUACACAUCUGUGAACCAGUUUAUGCAUACAUGUAUAAGUAUGUGUAUAUAAACAUACGUAUGUAUAUGUAUGUAUUUUUUACAUGUGUGUAUAGGCCUAUAUGUGUGUGUGUGUGUGUGUGUGUGUGUGUGUGUGCAGACGUAUGUUUGUGAAUAGUUUUGUUUAUAUAUAUGUGAGUGCAUGUUUUUUGAUAGAUAGAUUCAUUUUUAUGUGAGCAUGUGUUUAAAAACCUUUGAGCAAUGAGAGCGUAGGCAAAAUAUGUAAGGUGAUGUCAAUAACUGAAAAUAAAAAGAAAAGGUAUUGUAUUACCUUACAUAGGUUGUUUAAUGAUCCUUUAAUAUUUCGGGGAAGCUUCACUUUUUCAAAUAUAUAAAAGAAAAUAAGCAGAGUUCGGAAAAUGUGCUGUUCUUUAUAGCUGAGGUAGGUUAAGAUGGAUUGGUAGUAUCAGUAGCAGUAGAUAGUAUGGUGUGGCAUGGACAACAGUAGCUAGAGUCGUGGCUUGAAAAAUUAGUAUACUUGUGUGAAGGAGUUCUUGGAAAAGUUACUGGACAAUUGACGAACUUCAAUUGUAAAGUUAGAACGUAUGGUUUCAUGACGUUUUCUUAAUUCAAAAUGGGUUAUCUGAACUAUGUUAUUAAGUGUGAUGAAGUGUGUUCUAGUGAUGAGUUGAGAAUGUGCAAGAAUUAAGAGGAAUAGGUGAAAAGGUGACAAUAGCUGUGGUACUAAAUUCUGCAGCAUGAUAAAUUUGUGCGAGUGGAUGUAGGAGUUGUUACUUGUUAUAGUAUGUUUUGGAAGGUUGAUCGUUCAACAUCUGCAGUGUCAUACUCAUUCUCACAUACUCCCGUACUAAAGUGAAUUCUACCUUUGAUGCAUUCAACAAUAUUGAUAAAUGCUUUGAUCCACUAUUAAACACCCUGAUGAAACAGAGACUCUUCUACUAGUUGAUGUUAUUUCGGAAAGAGAGGAAAUCACCACACGUUUCUACAUACAAAAACGGCCUGCGGAGACAUGUUGGUGUACUUUAUAUCAGCUCCUCACCACUAUACCAAGCACAACAACAUGCAAAAUGAACUUACUCGCAUUCGUAACAGAUGCAACAAAGCGACCGAUCGACACAUUUCAAACUAAAUGGAUACUCCACAUCUUCCACUCAUCUCCAACAAGGUCAACGACGUAAAACAGAGCAACAGCCACUAGAAUGCCAACUUCCUGACUAAAACUACCACAUCUCAGUGGGACAAAUACCACCGCCAUUCGAGAAGCUAUUCGUAGAGAGAUUAAGAAUUCUGACCUAAAUAGGUAAUUAGUAAAUUUACUGUCAAAGCUAUCAUUAGAUUUUCUUUAUUUUGACUUCCUUUUUUGAACACACGAAAACAGAUGUCCUAUUCUGAGUGUGCCAUAACUAUGCAAAAUACGUUGGACUCUAAAACACAAGCUUAUUACAAAAUAAGUUAUUUUUACAAAGUUUCUCAAAUGCAAGUCUAGCCGUAAAUAAUAGGUUGUAAAACAUCGGGUAAAAUCCCAUUAGACAAAAAAAUAAUAAUAAAAAGUAGAAUGAAUUAUAUAUCAAGCAAUUUGCAAAAGAUGUUCAAGUAGACGCAACAAAAUUUAUCGCCAUCAGAAGCAGACCAGAAAAGAGCGUAUGUGUCAAUCUCAAAGUACUGUGAGACGACUAGUUAGAGGAAAAUCGGGGUGAAAAUAUAACUUUCUAUACUGUCGACCAUUUUAGUAUGUAGUAUUCAUGAGAUGGUUUUGCACAUCUGGAAAUAUAUGAAACCUUGAUAGUCUUUGCGUUGAAACAAGAGAUGACAGUGCUAUAAAAUUAUUUGGCAAAUUCUUCGGUUGAUCAUCGUAUUUUUUAUUCGUGUCAACCACUGGAAUCAACCCACGUGUCUACUGCAGAUCAGACAACUGUGAUGCCACUGCACCAAAAAAAAAAAAACACUUUGGCAAGCUAGAUUUACAUUUGAGCAACUUCGCUUAAAGACUUUUAAAAUUUGUUAAGCUUUGAGAAUGCUAUUCAAAUAGACUAAAGUAUUUGAAAAGGGUCUAAAACAAAUAUGGGCUUUUUCAAAAGAUGACUGAUAUAUUCGGACAAAACCCAGGCAUUUGUAGUUUUUACUCCAUGAUAAGUCUUCUAAAGUGCAAGAAACAGAAAAUUUAUGUCAUUAAACAUCUUACUUAUUUUUGUGAUUUUCACAGGAACACACUAGAAUUUCCUUUCUAGUCUUAACCUCAGUCAUGAAUGUUACUUUAACUAUUAAUUAUGCAAUACAGUUCUUCCAUUUAUACCCAGAAUCAGUAAGUUGUCGGCAUGUUGUACAACCUGUUUAUGAAUUAUUUCAUAUUCUUAUCUUCAAAAGUAGUGUUGUCUUUAUAAUUUCAUAUCAAGACUUACACGAUGCUAACCCAUUAUGAUUGAUGCUGUAUAAUAUUGUAAUCAAUAAGCAGUAAGUAAAUUGAAUUUAUAUUUGUAAGAAUUUAUUUUAUCGUAUUAAGGACUUUAAAAAAUUUUCAGUUACCGUGUAGCUGAAUUUAUCUCAAAAAUAAUUAUAUUAUUGUUUAGAUGCGUAAUAUUCAAAAUCAAUAUUAUUACUUAUAGUUAAUCAAUAGAUAACUGCUCUUUUCUGUGUUAAUAAAAUAUAUUUUGCCUCAUGCUUAUGUAAUACUAAAUCUAGUUUUAUAUUGCUUUGCAGAAAUUUUUUUUAUGUGUGCUAAACACAUAUAUCACCAUGGUAUGUAACCUUAAAAUCAUUAUAACUCACUGAAAUACAUUAAGCACCAUUCAAUGCAUAUUUAACAGGCAAGAAAAAAACUGUGACUAAAAUUUUAAAAAGAAAAGCUUGAGUUUACUAAUCGUGUGGAUAACGAAGAGUGCAUAAUCUAUGCUUCUAAAUAUGAGACUUUCUAUCCACAAGUAUUUAUAUGUUCA
rnacentral:lncRNA from 1 species